GCUUACGGCCAUACCACCCUGAACACGCCCGAUCUCGUCUGAUCUCGGAAGCUCAGCAGGGUCGGGCCUGGUUAGUACUUGGAUGGGAGACCGCCUGGGAAUACCAGGUGCUGUAAGCU
rnacentral:rRNA from 1 species